AGAGUGUGGUGGUGAGAAAGUAGGCCAGUGAAAAAUAUGCAGCCCUUUGAUGUAAAUCAGAGCGUUCUCUCUAAAUAUCAGCACUUUCAGACGCAUCAGCAACCAAGAAGAAGAAGACCAAGCAGUGGUGCAGUCCUUCCUGACCUUCACGUUUAACAAUAUUUAACUACAAUGCUGCAGAUGCAACAGGAUGAUAAAUAAAGCAGAUGUGUUCAAAGGUGUUCCAAAAGUGAACAUAUCAAUGUCUGAAUCCUGGUAGACCUGAGAUAAAGGGUUCCCAGGAGGAAGCCUCUUCUCUCUAAAAACAACAUGGCAGCAAAGCUACAUCUGAACCAACCACAAGACUUGUGGUAGAAUGUCUGUUGGACAGCGGCGAGUGUCAUGACCUUGAGUUUCUCCCGGAUCACUUUCACCACUCGGCUCUUCUGUAACGGCGUGACUCUGCAGCAGAGCACGGAGCGGCAGUGCUUCACCAGGGCCACAAAGCGAUCCAGCAGGUCUGGC